GAUGAACGCUGGCGGUGUGCCUAAUACAUGCAAGUCGAGCGAACAGACGAGGAGCUUACUCCUCUGACGUUAGCGGCGGACGGGUGAGUAACACGUGGAUAACCUACCUAUAAGACUGGGAUAACUUCGGGAAACCGGAGCUAAUACCGGAUAACAUGUUGAACCGCAUGGUUCAACAGUGAAAGACGGUCUUGCUGUCACUUAUAGAUGGAUCCGCGUCGCAUUAGCUAGUUGGUAAGGUAACGGCUUACCAAGGCAACGAUGCGUAGCCGACCUGAGAGGGUGAUCGGCCACACUGGAACUGAGACACGGUCCAGACUCCUACUGGAGGCAGCAGUAGGGAAUCUUCCGCAAUGGGCGAAAGCCUGACGGAGCAACGCCGCGUGAGUGAAGAAGGUCUUCGGAUCGUAAAACUCUGUUAUUAGGGAAGAACAAAUGUGUAAGUAACUAUGCACGUCUUGACGGUACCUAAUCAGAAAGCCACGGCUAACUACGUG
rnacentral:rRNA from 1 species